UCCUUCCAUUUCGAUGGUGCUGAGGAUUUCUUUAUGUGAGGCCAAAUUGAUAAGGUUUUUCUCUCUAGCCUCGUCAAGAGAAUCGCUGCAUUUAGAGCCAUUAAACAAUUAAAGUUCCAAUAAUAUAAUAUAAUGGCCCAAAGUAAAUUUGUUGUUUUUGCUCUAUUCUUCUUUGCCAUUGUUGGCAUGGCGGCGGCCGGCGAUGCUCCGGCGAGCGCUCCGCCGAGCGAAGCUCCGGCGGCGGCCAACAACAGUGUCGUUGGCACCCUCGAUGGAGGCGCUACAACUACCGCCGCGCCUGUUGGUGGGCCCAUUCCUGCUUCUAUUUACGAAAGCCUCGCCCCCGCUGGGACACCCAGUAGCGGUGCCACUAUGACUGUCAGGGCCGCCGCCUCUGCUGUUACCGCCACCGUCGUCGGCGCCACCGUCGCUGCCUCCUUCUUCUUUUAAAUUGAGUGAAAUUUAAUUUAAUUCAACCUCAUGACUUGAUCAUUGUGGCAAUAUAAUAUAAUCAUAAUCAUCAUAU